UUGAACUUCAUCUCCUUAAAUAGGGCCAUACAAUUUAACCAUCUAUUCAAAAGCCUCCAAGGAACAAUAGUAAAAUUAGUAAAUGCCAUUAAGAGUAUUUAGCUAAUAGUUUAAUUCUAUACUUAAGUUAAAAGGAAUAUGUUAUUAAAAGUUGGCCACUAGAGCUCAUAGGGACAAGGUUAUAAACCCUAACGCACUCAGAUUCUCACAUUUUAAAUUAAUGGGAGACAGAAGGAAAGAGAGAAAUGAAAGGAGAAGACAAAAGAAAAAGAGUAGAGGCAAGGAGAGGAGAGAAGGAACUAGGCACCCCUUGGUUGUUAGUCAGUUAUCUCCAGGGGACUGCAGCCACUUAUGUGUUUCUUCUUCCCUGUAAUUGUAUGAAUUGUAUUGUGUGUCUCCUAAACAUGUUUCCCCCUUCACCAUGAUAGUUUAUCUACUUGUAGUGAGAUUUGAAAGAAUCUGCCAUGACUAGUGUUCAAUAGAGAUUUCAUAUAUUAAUUGCAAGAUAAUGUCCGAUUGAAGGAUUGGGAAAGAGAUUUUGAUGGGGUAUAUGUUUUGCAUUGUUUUAUGUGUUCAAUAUUAUGAGUUGGGUGGUUAGGAAGCCAUUGAUAACAUUUGAGGAUAGAAGCUGAAGAUACAGAGUUUGUCAGAGUUCAUGGGCAUGAAAAUUGCCCCCAAUAUUCAAGAUAAAGUGUCACUCAAUGUUCAAAAUACAGUAAUACCCACGAUCACAAGGAUGUUUCGGUAUGAACUUGCAGCACGUUAUACUCAAAUAGAAGGUACAGCACAUGAAGGGUAAAGAUUGAGUAAGGAUUCCUGAAUCAAAAACAUAAUUUAUCAACAUGCAAACACACAUAUAUUAACAAAACAGUGUUAUUAUGACAAAAGAAAAUAGAAUAUUUGUUGGAUUUCACCUUUGAUUAUUAGCAAAUGAUGAAGAACAUAGUUUUCAAAGCCAUUUAAUUUAAGAAUCAUCUUGAUAGUUUUAGAUAGAAAUAACAUGCAAAAAACACAUGGCAGCUGAGACAAAAAGUAAUCCAUCCCUGUAGAGAUUGCAAGAUAUCCUUAAAAUAGCUCAAUAACUUUGUUAGGAGUCUCAACAUUGGAUAGGAUAAGCUACUUGAUGUGGUACCUAAACCAAGAGAUUCUCUCACCUAAUGGACUAUCUUUGGGGUUGAGAUCUACUUUUGUGCUCAAGUCCUUACAAUUGAUGUUUGCAUUGAGAGCUGGGUUAUAGAGAAAGUUACCUGUGGGCUAAGGUGCAAAUUGAAUACUAAUAGAAGAGUGAAGCCAUCUUAAGAAGAAAAGACCCACCACUGGGUUAGUGUCGAAAGGAUGAAGUUACCAUGGAUGUUGGCCACUAAAGCGGGUGACAAUGUUAGAGUUUCACAUUGAGUGAGAUUAACUACUUGAUGUGAUACUUAAGCCUAUAGGUUAUCCCACCUAAUUUACCUUUUAUUUUAUUUUUACUUUAAAAAGUAUGUAAGGUAACAGUAAUUUCCUUUAUGACAACAUUCAUUUGGAGAAAACAGAUGCUCAGAAUGCAAACAACAUUCUGCAGGGAACAAAGGUAAAGACGUGUACUAGCAAUGACAUAAUAUUGUAUAAUUAGAAAGCAUGGACAAACUGGUUUGGUUUGCUACUGCAUUGUUCAGAACAAACUUAAUCUUACACCUCCAAAACAAUACAGGUAAAAAAAUUGUAAAUAUCAUUGGUUACUGGCUUCUGAAAAUUCAUAAAAUGACAAGUACAUACAUCACGUCAAAUCUUUCACAUAUGGCUACUGCCAACAAGGAUAUACAAAAUAUUUGCAAGGACAAUUAAUUAGAAACUCAAUAAAAAUCUGAUACACACGGUUUACCUGUUCAGAUAUAAAUAUUUU